AAUGAAAUUGCUGGGUCAUAUGGUAACUCUGAUUUUUUGAAAAAUUGUUAAACUGCUUUCCAAGGUGGCUAUACCAUUUUACAUCACCACUGGCAAU
rnacentral:pre_miRNA from 1 species